GUGGGGAAUCUUGCGCAAUGGGCGAAAGCCUGACGCAGCGACGCCGCGUGAGUGAUGAAGGCCUUCGGGUUGUAAAGCUCUGUGGAGAGGGACGAAUAAGGGUUGGCUAACAUCCAACCUGAUGACGGUACCUUUUUAGCAAGCACCGGCUAACUCUGUGCCAGCAGCCGCGGUAAGACAGAGGGUGCAAACGUUGUUCGGAAUUACUGGGCGUAAAGCGCGUGUAGGCUGCUCGGAAAGUCGGAUGUGAAAGCCCUGGGCUCAACCUAGGAAGUGCAUUCGAAACUUCCGAGCUGGAGUGCUGGAGAGGAAGGCGGAAUUCUCGGUGUAGAGGUGAAAUUCGUAGAUAUCGAGAGGAACAUCGGUGGCGAAGGCGGCCUUCUGGACAGCGACUGACGCUGAGACGCGAAAGCGUGGGGAGCAAACAGGAUUAGAAACCCCUGUAGUCC
rnacentral:rRNA from 1 species